rnacentral:tRNA from 2 species
GAAGUUUUAUUUUAAGGUAAAAUAUUUAUUUGCAUAAUAGAAGAUUAAGCUUUU